rnacentral:rRNA from 1 species
GAUGAACGCUGGCGGCGUGCCUAAUACAUGCAAGUCGAGCGAACAGACGAGGAGCUUGCUCCUCUGACGUUAGCGGCGGACGGGUGAGUAACACGUGGAUAACCUACCUAUAAGACUGGGAUAACUUCGGGAAACCGGAGCUAAUACCGGAUAAUAUAUUGAACCGCAUGGUUCAAUAGUGAAAGACGGUUUUGCUGUCACUUAUAGAUGGAUCCGCGCCGCAUUAGCUAGUUGGUAAGGUAACGGCUUACCAAGGCAACGAUGCGUAGCCGACCUGAGAGGGUGAUCGGCCACACUGGAACUGAGACACGGUCCAGACUCCUACGGGAGGCAGCAGUAGGGAAUCUUCCGCAAUGGGCGAAAGCUUGACGGAGCAACGCCGCGUGAGUGAUGAAGGUCUUCGGAUCGUAAAACUCUGUUAUUAGGGAAGAACAAAUGUGUAAGUAACUAUGCACGUCUUGACGGUACCUAAUCAGAAAGACACGGCUAACUACGUG